GGCUGAGAGCUGGUUUAAUCUGGUUCUGCGCAGGGUGAGUCAACUGUGACUUCAUGGGUAAUCUUGACAGUCAACUUGAUUGAAUCUAUAUUUAUAGAAGAUACAUUCCUACUGGUAGGUCAGUGAGAACGUUUUAGAAAUGACUAACUGAAGGGAAAUGAUCUUCGCCUAAGACAGAAUCUUCUGUUGGUCAUCCCAGAGAUAAAGAGGUCCAAGAAAAACAUGUUGUUUGCUGUCUUCUUCCCUUUGCUUCUUUCUGGUGAAUACAUCUAUCCCUGUUGUUGCUCCUGUUGCUAUUGGACCUUUUCAUUCAAACAACCACAGAACAAAAAACUAGAUCAGGAUAAAUGUAGUGAUAUGGUUCUACUGAACCAGAGACUCUGAUUUUGAUGUUUUGGUUCAGACCAUUAAAAAGGCGCUAACAGUUUAUUUGAUUGUUUAGCAGAAGUAUGGGUCAAAAGGCAGGAGCAUGGCAGCAUCCAGGCAGGCAUGGUGCAGGCUGAGCUGAAAGUUCUACAUCUUCAUCUGAAGGCUGCUAGCAGGAUACUGACUUCCAGGCAGCUAGGAUGAGGGCCUUAAAGCCCACACCCACAGUGACACACCUACUCUAACAAGGCCACACCUACUUCGACAGGGUCACACCUUCUAAUAGUGCCAUGCCCUGGUCUGAGCUUAUAUAAACCAUAACAUUCCACUCCCUGACCCUCCCCUCCCCCCUCCCCGCAGUGACACACCUCCUCCACAAGGCCAUACCUCCUAAUAGUGACCCUCCCUGGGCCAAGCAUAUUCAAACGACCACACCUAGCUACAUCUUUUACUAAGUGCCAAAUUUGCCAGCAGCAGAGACCAAUACUGAGCCCCAAUAUGGCACCAUUUUUAUGCUUUUUUUAUUAGAUAUUUUCUUAUUUACAUUUCUAAUGUUGUUCCCUUUCCUGGUUUCCCCCACAAAAAACCCCUAUCCCCUCCCCUGCUCACCAACCCACCCACUCCCAUUUCCUGGCCCUGGCAUUCCUCUACACUGGGGCAUCCAGCCUUCACAGGACCAAUGGCCUCUCCUCCCAUUGAUGACCAACUAGGCCAUCCUCUGCUACAUAUGCAGCUAGAGCCAUGAGUCCCACUAUGUGUACUCUUUGGUUGGUGGUUUAGUCCCUGGGAGCUCUGGGGGUACUGAUUAGUUCAUAUUGUUGUUCCUCCUAUGGGGCUA
rnacentral:lncRNA from 1 species